AAGGCUUGUGAGAAAAGGAAGUACAAAGUUGGUCGUAUAUUGGAAACACAGAAGACCGUCCCUUUUAAUGACAAACGAGAUACUGAAGAUUGAAGAAGCUAUAAUCUACAAGUAAUUGUUGUAUGAUUUUCGCGCAAAGCUACUCGAGGGCUGUCUGCGUUAACCAUCCCUAAGUUAGCAGUAAUAAAGUAAAGGAAAAGCAGCUAAUCAACACACCCACCGCCAACUCUUGAGCUACUCUUUUACCAACGUAUAGUGGGAUUGAUCGUAACAUUAAAACGUCUCCAUGACCGACAGAGCGACCAUGUUCGGUGACAGGGAUUUGAAACCGCAGAUUGUGAGUCGAACGCCAUAAGGUCCAUUAGGCUACAAGUAAAACUGCAAGAAAUGCGGUCUUUUGUGACCUAUUAGAUAGUAAAGAAGCAGUUAGAAAUACUGCACUAUCUUUGUGUUACAGUGCAGCAUACUUUUAUAAUUUUGGAGACAGUUUAUGGGAAGAGCGGCAUUUUUACAUUAAUAGUAAGAAGUACAAAACGUAUAAUUACCUUAUACAUUAUUACUAGUAUUAGUGGAUGAAAAUUUACAAAAGUAUUCUAUAUUAUAACACAGAAAGACAGCAAUGCUUCCAACUGCAUCUUUAUUACCUCACAGGUUACACAAAUAGACUGCAAUAUUUUUCUUUUUAUUUGUAGAAUAGCUUCUUCAAAUUCGUCUAUCUUGUCUGUCAUAAAACAGAAUGGUAUUCUUAUUUUCCAUUUUACGACCAACUUAGUACUUCAUUCUGUCAAAUAAUUUUGUCUAGAUUUUUGUCACGUUUUUUGCACAUGUUCGUUAGUGCAGUACUACAUGUAUUAAGGUUGUCUUGAGAUGUUUCAAGAUGUCUGUUAGUGUUUUGUGAGAAUCGUGUGUGAGGUCGCGAAAUAUUUAUCAGAGACUUAAGUAUUUCAGAGUUCUUGUCGUGAAAGCAGAGUCAACUCAGACAUAUAUAUACAGUUCGGAGCAAUGGCUAUGAAAUUACCAUCCACUGUUCUGACAAAGUUGGUUUCAUCAUAUAAUCAUUUAUGGAAACCCCCUCCAAAAAAACCUCCAUACAAUCAUAUUUGUAGAAUAGGAGAUCCGGUGUUAAGAUAUGAAGCCAAAGCUAUUGAUGUGGAAAAGAUAAAAUCAGAAGAAAUUCAGAAGGUAAUAAGCAAAAUGAAGAAAGUAAUGAGAAAUCACAAGGCAGUUGGCCUAGCUGCACCACAGAUUGGAUGUUCUCUUAGAGUCAUCACAAUGGAAUUUAGUCCUGAAAGCUUAGAGAUGUUUCCUCCUAGUAUUGUUCUUAGUAGAGAAUAUCAAGCUUUUCCUCUACAGGCUACAGGAGGGGGUACUCAUCUUUGGACUUAUCGGCUAUCAUCUUCCGUGAGAUUGUUCAUUAUAGGAGUCAACCUGUUUCACCUGAUCUUGCCCCUAUUCCUCCUGAACAUGCCAAACUUGCUCGGGUCUACAAGAAUUUUGACAGCCUUUUUCCUCCACCUGAUUUUGCCAUAUUUUUCUAUGCCCCUACUGCAGAAUCAGCUAGGCCUAAUACGGCUUUUAGAUAUAAUUUCUCAGGUCUUUGUCAAUCCAGUGAUGAGGGUUGUGGAAAAACACAAAGUUACAUUUCCAGAAGCUUGUGAGUGUAUUAAAGGUUAUAGUGCAUUGGUACCAAGAUAUUACGAAGUUAAAAUAACAGGUUUCCAAAAGAUCCAGUAUGUAGAGUUAAAUGAACUACAGCAGUAAAACAUGGAGACCCGAAAAACAUUGACAAGGCUUGGAAAUCAUCAUCAUACCAUAGACUAUGCAGUUCCCAUUUUAUAUCUGGAUACAAUGAAAAAGCUGAAGAAGUGGAAUGGCAAGUAAAGGGUUGGCCAGCACGUAUAAUCCAACAUGAACUGGACCAUAUAAAUGGUAAAUUAUACACUGAUAUUAUGGUGUCACAGAGUUUUC
rnacentral:misc_RNA from 1 species